rnacentral:rRNA from 1 species
UCUUGAUAUUACAGCAUGUGUACUGCCGUUGUAAGCAUACCUCUAAAAGAUUAAGUAUGCUACUAUGACCUAAACCCAUACACAUCAGGUCAAAGUGCAGCCUAUAAGAAGGUGACGAUGGGUUACAACCCAAAAAAGGACUAUCAACUAAGAAAUAAAAAAUCUUAAGAAAGUGGACUUGGCUGUAAUCGAUUUACAAGUUAAAUAAAUGAAUAAAAAUCUAAGGCAUGCACACAUCGCCCGUCACUCUACCCUAAAGGGUAGAUAAGUCGUAACAAAGUAGGUGUAAUGGAAAUUGCACCUGUCGGAGUAUAGCAUAUAUAAUGCUUUUUACUUACACUAAAAAUAAAGUUAACACUUACUUCGCCUAAAACACACAAUCUUCAUAAUAAUAAAUAAUAAAAACAACUAAGUAACAAUAAGAAAUAAAGUACAGAAAUGGAAAAUAUAAUAAAUAACAGUAAUUUUUAAUAAAUGUACCUUGUGCAUUAUGGUUUUACAAGAAUAUAAUUAAAUACAAAAAUCCCGAAUUCUAAAUGAGAUGUUAAACUGCUGCUAAGAACCCAUUAAUGACUGUAGAAAAAGUUUUAAUAGACAGUUUAACAGAGGCUACAUACCAUCCGCAUAAGAAUAUAGCUGGUUUUCAACAAACAUUAUACAUUAAAACAUAUAAUUACAUUAUAGUGUAAUAUUAUUGAGGAUAAGCCCAAUAAUUAAAGCAAUAUUAAUAAUAACCAAACCCAAUAUAUAGGCCUAAAAUCAGCCAAUUAAAGUACUUUACCGUAACAUAUAAAGGAAAAAUAAAUAUACUAAUAUGCUAAAUAAAGUUGAAAUAGCGGAUAAACCACCUACCCCGCCCAUACUAUGUAAAAAUAAGUAUUAUAAAACAAUGACAACACUAACCAAGAAUGAACAGAACAUAAAUAAACAAUAUUUAAUUAAGGAACUCGGCAA